ensembl:lncRNA
AGACAGCGGAGCAUUGGGACAUGAAAAAACCAGGAAGCCAAGCAUAACACUGCAAUUUUGGAAGAACAACAGCCUAAAUCGAUGGGUGGCUGUUAAGAAAGCAUCAGGACGAGGGGAGCAAGUGUAGGGGAGCCCCACUGGCAUUUCCUCACCAGAACUGGUGAACGUCUUCAGAGAAGAACCUCCAGAUGAGGCGAGACAAAGGCGAGCGGUGAGGCUCAACAGGUACUUGUUUGUCUUUGGGGAUGGUGGAGAAGGAAGGUUAGACAGGCCUGAAGAACAUCUCAUUAAAGACCUGGACAGGGACUGCUGA